ACUCCUACGGGAGGCAGCAGUAGGGAAUCUUCCACAAUGGGCGCAAGCCUGAUGGAGCAACACCGCGUGAGUGAAGAAGGGUUUCGGCUCGUAAAGCUCUGUUGUUAAAGAAGAACACGUAUGAGAGUAACUGUUCAUACGUUGACGGUAUUUAACCAGAAAGUCACGGCUAACUACGUGCCAGCAGCCGCGGUAAUACGUAGGUGGCAAGCGUUAUCCGGAUUUAUUGGGGCGUAAAGAGAGUGCAGGCGGUUUUCUAAGUCUGAUGUGAAAGCCUUCGGCUUAACCGGAGAAGUGCAUCGGAAACUGGAUAACUUGAGUGCAGAAGAGGGUAGUGGAACUCCAUGUGUAGCGGUGGAAUGCGUAGAUAUAUGGAAGAACACCAGUGGCGAACGGCGGCUACCUGGUCUGCAACUGACGCUGAGACUCGAAAGCAUGGGUAGCGAACAGGAUUAGAUACCCUGGUAGGAAAGCG
rnacentral:rRNA from 1 species